rnacentral:lncRNA from 1 species
GGUUAGUUCUGGAACUUUUUGUUAUUUUUUUAUCCUUUUUUCUUCGUAUUCUGUUUAUUUAACUUUCUCGGGGGCCUGUCUACUAUUUUUUCCCAAUUUUUUGAGAUUUUUGUGGCUUUCGUUUGAUCCAAAAUAUCCUUUGAUAUCUCCUCUUCUAGCAGUUCUAGGAGUUCGUCAGCCCCGGUUCCCCAUAGUAUUGGUACCGUAGACGAACUCGUAGCUAGGACCGAACCUUGUCCAGCUUUUGCGUCGGAUACCAUCC